rnacentral:rRNA from 1 species
GACGAACGCUGGCGGCGUGCCUAACACAUGCAAGUCGAGCGAAUGAAGUUCCUUCGGGAAUGGAUUUAGCGGCGGACGGGUGAGUAACACGUGGGCAACCUGCCUCAUAGAGGGGAAUAGCCUCCCGAAAGGGAGAUUAAUACCGCAUAAGAUUGUAGUACCGCAUGAUACAGCAAUUAAAGGAGCAAUCCGCUAUGAGAUGGGCCCGCGGCGCAUUAGCUAGUUGGUGAGGUAAUGGCUCACCAAGGCGACGAUGCGUAGCCGACCUGAGAGGGUGAUCGGCCACAUUGGGACUGAGACACGGCCCAGACUCCUACGGGAGGCAGCAGUGGGGAAUAUUGCACAAUGGGGGAAACCCUGAUGCAGCAACGCCGCGUGAGUGAUGACGGCCUUCGGGUUGUAAAGCUCUGUCUUCGGGGACGAUAAUGACGGUACCUGAGGAGGAAGCCACGGCUAACUACGUG